rnacentral:lncRNA from 1 species
AACCAAGCCUGAAGAGACUUUUAAUUGUGAACUCUUUUGAUCUUUCUUUUUUGAUUCUUGAAGAAAUCAAAUUUUUUUUGAUUUUUCAACUAAUCAAAAAAAUAACAAUUAAGAAGUAGUUGUAACUAACUCCCAAUAAACUUGAAAGGAAAGAAAAGAAACCAAGAAACUAGUUAGCACCAACACUUGACUCCAACCAAGUUGCCGCCCACCUCUCUUUCAACUACAAGGAGGGAUGUCUAGAGAGAGAGGGCAUGAGCU